rnacentral:rRNA from 1 species
CCUACGGGUGGCAGCAGUGAGGAAUAUUGGUCAAUGGGCUUACGCCUGAACCAGCGAAGUCGCGUGAGGGAAGACUGCCCUAUGGGUUGUAAACCUCUUUUGUCAGGGAGCAACGCCGGCUACGUGUAGCCGGACUGAGAGUACCUGACGAAUAAGCAUCGGCUGACCCCGUGCCAGCAGCCGCGGUAAUACGGUGGAUGCGAGCGGUAUCCGGAUUUCUUGGGGUAAAGGGGGCCGUAGGCGGAAUGCAAAGUCAGCGGUAAAAUCGCGGGGCUCAACCGCGCUCCGCCGUUGAAACUGGGGUUCUUGAGUGGGGGAGAGGAAAGCGGAAUGCGUGGUGUAGCGGUGAAAUGCGUAGAUAUCACGAAGAACACCAGUGGCGAAGGCGGCAUACCGGACCCUAACUGACGCUGAAGCACGAAAGCGUGGGUAGCGAACAGGAUUAGAUACCCUGGUAGUC